rnacentral:rRNA from 1 species
GGUACACGAGCGGCGAACGGGUGAGUAACACGUGAGCAACCUGCCCCUGACUCUGGGAUAAGCGGUGGAAACGCCGUCUAAUACCGGAUAUGACCUGCCACCUCAUGGUGGCGGGUGGAAAGUUUUGUCGGUCAGGGAUGGGCUCGCGGCCUAUCAGCUUGUUGGUGGGGUAACGGCCUACCAAGGCGAUUACGGGUAGCCGGCCUGAGAGGGCGACCGGCCACACUGGGACUGAGACACGGCCCAGACUCCUGCGGGAGGCAGCAGUGGGGAAUAUUGCACAAUGGGCGAAAGCCUGAUGCAGCGACGCCGCGUGGGGGAUGACGGCCUUCGGGUUGUAAACCUCUUUUACCACCAACGCAGGCUCCGGGUUUUCUCGGGGUUGACGGUAGGUGGGGAAUAAGGACCGGCUAACUACGUGCCAGCAGCCGCGGUAAUACGUAGGGUCCGAGCGUUGUCCGGAAUUAUUGGGCGUAAAGAGCUCGUAGGCGGCAUGUCGCGUCUGCUGUGAAAGACCGGGGCUUAACUCCGGUUCUGCAGUGGAUACGGGCAUGCUAGAGGUAGGUAGGGGAAACUGGAAUUCCUGGUGUAGCGGUGAAAUGCGCAGAUAUCAGGAGGAACACCGGUGGCGAAGGCGGGUUUCUGGGCCUUACCUGACGCUGAGGAGCGAAAGCAUGGGGAGCGAACAGGAUUAGAUACCCUGGUAGUCCAUGCCGUAAACGUUGGGCGC